GACGAACGCUGGCGGCGUGCUUAACACAUGCAAGUCGAACGGAAAGGCCUGCUUUCCCUUGUGGAUUGCGGGUACUCGAGUGGCGAACGGGUGAGUAACACGUGAGUGAUCUGCCCCCAACUUGGGUAUAAGCCUGGGAAACUGGGUCUAAUUCCCGAUAGGACUGCAGGGUGGUGCCUGUGGUGGAAAACGAUUUUCUAGUGGUUGGGGAUGAGCUCGCGGCCUAUCAGCUUGUUGGUGGGGUAAUGGCCUACCAAGGCGGCGACGGGUAGCCGGCCUGAGAGGGUGGACGGCCACAUUGGGACUGAGAUACGGCCCAGACUCCUACGGGAGGCAGCAGUGGGGAAUAUUGCACAAUGGGCGAAAGCCUGAUGCAGCGACGCCGCGUGGGGGAUGACGGCCUUCGGGGUGUAAACUCCUUUCGACCGCGAGGAAGCCACCUGGUUGGAAGGGUGGUGACGGUAGUGGUAGAAGAAGCACCGGCUAACUACGUG
rnacentral:rRNA from 1 species